rnacentral:rRNA from 1 species
AUGAACGCUAGCUACAGGCUUAACACAUGCAAGUCGAGGGGAAACGGCAUUGAUUGCUUGCUCUCUUUGGUCGUCGACCGGCUCACGGGUGAGUAACUCGUAUCCAACCUUCCCAUUACUGUGUGUUAACCUGCCGAAAUGCAGACUAAUACCGCAUAGUCUUCUAUGACGGCCUCAGAUUUUAUGUAAAGUUUUUUCGUUAAUUGAUUGGUAUGCGUCUGAUUAGCUUGUUGGCUAGGUAACGGCCAACCAAGGCUACGAUCAGUAGGGGUUCUGAGAGGAAGGUACAGCACAAUGGAACUGAGAAACGGACGAAAAUGCUACGGGAGGGAGGAGUAAGGAAUAUUGGGAAAUGGAAGGAAGUCUGAAACAGCCAAGUAGGGUGAAGGAAGACGGGGAUAUGGGUUGUAAACUGCUUUUGUAAGGGGAUAAAGUUAGGGAAGGGUCAGUAUUUGAAGGUACCAAACGAAUAAGGACCGGCUAAUUACGUG